GGAAAACGAAGCUAAAAAUGGCGAUUGGACGAUUCUAGGACGACGAUGAAAAGCCGAGCACAUGGGGUUGUGGUAAAUCAAUGAAACGAGAAUCCCACAGCAAUGAAUCAAGCUUUGGAACAUGUAAUGUGAAAAUUGCGCAUGUGCCGGCGCAUUAAACAAUCGCGGUGGAUGGUGGAGACUAGAAUCUCUCGGAAGAAUCUGGAUAUUUU
rnacentral:misc_RNA from 1 species